rnacentral:rRNA from 1 species
UACGUAUGUUGCAAGCGUUACUCGGAAUCACUGGGCGUAAAGCGUACGUAGGCGGACAUAUAAGUCAGAAGUGAAAUUUCAGGGCUCAACCUUGAACCUGCUUUUGAAACUGUAUGUCUUGAGUAUAUGAGGGGAAGAUGGAAUUCCUGGUGUAGCGGUGGAAUGCGUAGAUAUCAGGAAGAACACCGGUGGCGAAGGCGGUCUUCUGGCAUAAUACUGACGCUGAUGUACGAAAGCGUGGGGAGCGAACAGG